GGGGCCGGCGCGCCCCACCGGGACCCCGGCCGGUCCGCCGGGACGCCUCGAUGACCCCCGCUCGCAGCCGGUGCCUCGCAGUUGAAUUGUCUGGAUUUCUGAGCGGGGAGGAAAGGGAGAUCGGGGGCUGGGGCAGCCACACCCCCUCCGGGAUUCCCCCCUUCCCACUCCCGGGUGAAGAGGGGACUUAAUAUGAGCAGCCCCUUGCCCCAUUUGCCGGGGCGCUGGAUUCCCCGGGGGAUGGAGGUGGGGAGAGGGUGGAGCGGGCUCCUGACACCACUAGGAAAAAGAAGAGGGAAGUCUUCUCCCUGUCUUGGACCCUUCGUGGGUGCAAUACAGCCUGCCAGGCUCUUUCCACAUCCUUCUGACCCUGUCAUAACCCGCGAAGUAAGUGAUGUCAGGCCCCAGAGGGCAGAGGGAGGCGAAGCAACGUGGCCAAGGUCACCAGCAAGGAAUUGGGAGAUGGUCAGUGAAUGCCCCUCUCCAUAUCCCGGCUGUGCCAGGCAGGCUUAGCUGCAGAGGCCAGGGCCCGCGAAUAAAACCCCAAAGGGAUGAGAGGAGACUCUGGCUGCGAUUGCUUCCACCCUAGGAUUCCUCCCCAUCCAGUCUCCAGUGCCUAAAUCCCGGGUGGAAAGAGAGAUCUGUGCAGACAGGUCCCCACCCAGCUCCCUGCACCGGAGGGUUUGGUUCCUCCGAGGCUGCUGCGCCAGCAGGACUUGCCCGCAGGGCACACAUAAGCUGUGAAGGGAGACCUGAGGCUGCCGGAAGAGCUGGCCGGAUUGGAAGAAAGGGGGCCCUGAGACUGCAAAACAGCAUGCCUUAUCUAGACCCUCCAGAGAGGCAUCGCGGGUGUCCUGGGCAGGACCAAGGGCAGAGCAAUUUCCUUUACAAUUUAAGUGAAUUUAGUGAUAGGACCGGGUGGGUAGGUAAGGAGGAACCCGCAAGCCCAAGAGUUGCAAAGCCUCUGAACCUCAGUAAAAAUAGGACAUUUGCCUUGGAACUCUGCACCAUCUGUAAGUGCCAUAAAGCACCACUCCCCUCCAAACAAGCCAAGCCUAUUUCAACUGAAAAAGACAGCACUGGGGGAACUUAGGAAGGCAGAUCAUUUUCCUGGGGUGGAUUAUCUUGUGGUUGGCUUAUGUGAGGUUUGGGGACCUCUUUCUGAUACAAACUCACCACAGCCAGCUCUCUAUAAUAUUGAGAAGCUAGAGCUUCUAUGGGAAACUGCUCUUGGUCCAAGCUUUGCUACUCACUCUUCAGGCCAGGUUAUAUGCAGAAUUGGUACUCUGAAGCCUAAGGUCCUAAAUUUGAGGAGGGGAGAAAUUUCUUUUCGUGCUGGGUCCUGUCUUGUCCUCCUGGUGCAGUAAAUUAGUCUGAACCUUUUAUGCCAGUUGAGGAAGCUUUUAGGAUUCUCUAUGAAGUUAAUGUUGGGUUAUUGAACUGAAUUUUGAAAUUCAUUUGGAGAAAUAUCAGCUAAGAUUAUUGGAAAGCCAGAAGUAAAUAUGUUGGGGUGGGGGGUGUUCUUUGUUACCUGUCGUUCUGUUGUGUUAACCUGACGUUUAGUGUCUGGGAAUACUUGGAGUUGCCAGGCAUUCAACCUCAUGAUGGGUCUGUCCUUCACUUAAUAGUGAUAAAUUGGAACAUGCUGAUGCAGGAGCAUUUUGCAUCCUUUUUGUGUACUAAUUGUGUAUGCCUCCUGAAGGAUGCGACAUUGAUGAGACUGAGUGGUUGUUUUCCUUCUAGAUAAGUUCUUCAGUGCCUGCUAAUAGAGCUGUCAGUUAUUUUAACUUUCCCUUUCUGCACAUUGAGAUAGUGUUACUGUGUUCUGUUUGUGUGGGGUGUGGUAAGGGUAAGUAGCUGAUAAUGCUGUUUGUAGGGGUAUAUGUAUUUCACAGCCACAGGAGAGGAUAGAGUUAAUGUUAAUUAGAUGCAGCUGCUCUAAAUCUGUGUUUGAGGUAACUAAAUUUAAAUGUGAAUGCAACAGAUACAUUUUUUUUUUAAAAAUAAGGUAUACUGUUCUGCAGGGUUCGGUUGAAAAAUAGAUCCAAUCAUAACACAAAUGUGGUCACCUAGGAAUUUGAGGAGGAAUUAGAAUCAGGCUAGAAGUUCAAAAGUGUCAUGUUAGAGUAUGUUGAUAAUACUCAUGCUCUCAAAAACAUUACAGUAAGUGUUACAGUCAGAAUGACACAAUAAUUUUGUAAUUGUUUUUCUGAACUUCAGUAUGGUACUGGUCAAGGAUUCAUUGCCCUAAUCUGCAUCUUUAACUCUUGACUCAUAGGACAUGAAGUUGGACUUAUGAAUGAUGGCCUUUUGCAUAAAGUGAAAUAUACCUGUUAGUUUCUUAUUGAUAGGUAACCACCAAGUUGAAUUUUUAUUUACCCCCAAGUUUGCAUAUAUGGAAGGGGCACAUUGUUAGAAAUAUCUUAAGUGGAUCAGAAUUCAGUUCUUAAAAAAAUACGAGGCUUAAGGUUGUUGCCGUCAAAAUGUAAGAAAAAGUUUUGGGGCAAACCACAAAAUCUUGUUGGCAUAUGCUUCACAAGUGAGAUACUUGGAAACUUUAAGAAUGCUGUUUGUGUUACUUUGUGGUUAUUCUUAGGAAUAGUAGGACUUUUGGGUACUUUUUUGGUGAUGUGGAAACUCGGGAAUGGGAAUUCACUUGCGCAGCUUGGAAUUCUUUUCAAAAAAUCAUUUUCUAGUUCCAGUUAUUAAAUGCCUUCCUGUUUAUUUACAGACUUUUUUUUUUUCCUUUGGUUUCCUAAUUAACCUGUAGUUGUCCCAGCUAAAAAAACUGUAGCUCUUUAAGCUUGGAACCCUAAAUUAACCCACACUCCCCCCUUUUGGUGUGUCCCGUUGGCAGACUGCUUUGCAGAUGUUGGUGCUUUUAUUUAAAUCUCUCUGUGAAGAUCACUGUAGGAAAUGGGUCAGAAAUGUGUAGUAAAAGGAGGCUAAGAGUUUGCUUCUGGGCUUCACCUUUGGGGGCAGAAGGUCCCACAGGACGUGGGGGUUACGGUUAGGCUGGCGCACACAAGUGGCUGCUAUUGGGAAGCAGGAAUGGAUUAGCUGCCUGGGUUUCAUCCUGAGGUCUGAGUGUUUUCCAAGCAAAAAGCCGGUGUUUUGCUUAUUCAGCAGUGUGCCAUUUUACUCGUGACUAUUUGGAAAUUAUGAGUAGAUGACUAGGAGACUAGGAGAAGACAGAGUUUUGCUGAGAAAGGAGGGGAAGCAGGCAUUCCAGGACCACUGUUCUGGGAGACAAUAGGAGAGACUUUCCACUUAAAGGCUUAGACUGGUCGAUACUUAGUGCUUGGUUGAAGUCGAUGUAAUAAAUGAAGGUCUGCUUGGUUAUUUUAUAUUGGGUUAGCACUUUAACUUUUGUGAUGAUGGAGGGGGCAUAUCCUGCCCAUUUACUGAACGACUGCUCUGUGCCAUGCCUGUUGUAGGCAUGUGGCACGCAUGAUCACAAUUAAGCCUAAUGUGACCUUUAUGGAGGAGGGACAGUUGUUAUCUCCAUUUUACAGAGAAGAAAAUCAAGGCCUAGAGAGAUGAAGCGAUACAUCCCCAAAGUCCCAUGGCAGUGGAAAUCCUUAAGCAAUUAGAACAUAAAAUAGAUGUUCCAAAUGUUCACAAAGACGUAUUUCAGUGGCUUUGUAGAGAAUGUAAGAGGCUUCCCUUUUCAUUGUACCUUCUAAUUUUGAUCUCAUGAAAUAGAGGUGCCUGAGUUCCUACAUGGCUCAGUUUUUCUUCAUGUUUCCAUUCCAGGGAGUUCUUAAUAGUAAUACUUAAAUACAUUCCUUAUUUUUUUUCUCUGUGUUUUCAGAGACUUUGAUAUGGUUUUUCAGAUUCAGGUGUGGGAUCUUUUUGGGCAUAAUCUAGGAAUAGCAUUCACUCGAAGCAUUUUUGGGGAGCACCUGCUGGGUACAAGUCAUUUUGCUAAGUGUAGCUGAGAUAUUGAAGUUGUUGUCUAGAUUGUGUUAUGGAUGAAGUAAUGGUGUUUGAGAAAGAGGUAAAUAGGGCUGUCAUUCUUAACAAGGUGGGAAGGGGCAGUUUGCGGGUGGGGAAAAUGAUACUAGGGCAUUCACCCCAAUAAUGCAAGGUGAAUCACUCAAAUUACCAUCCAUUUGGUAUACAAACUGUCCAGUGCCCAGCAGUGUGUUAUUACCUGGGGAUAGUAAGAAGAUCAACCCUGCUAUUAAUAAGUACUCCAUCUAAGGGUUUUCUGAAGGGAGCUGACAAUGAAGUGUGGGUCUUGCAUGAGAAAUUCACUUGUGUUAACAUAAACACAUGACAUGCUUAGUCCCUCCUGCGGCCAUAGAAAUGUUUGAAGAAUGAAGAAAUGGAUGAAGGUGUGGAAUGCAGGUAGGCCUCUUUCACCAGUUAUUAGUGAUCCUACUAUGUGCAAACCCCAUGCAUACUAUUAUUUAAUGUUUACCUGGGCCCUACUACUAUGUUUGACCCAUCUUCCCGCAGUUGAAUCUUUUGCCCAAGGGCACACACAUAGUAAGUAGUAGAUUUGGGCAUGGAUCCCAUUUCUGUAACACCCCUGUGCAUACUAGUUAGACUACACCUGUAUGUUUCUUCACCCUCCAAGUAACUUUUAAUUUUUACUCAUGUUCAUUUGGACUUCAUCUUCUGUGCUGAUGACAGGAGGUCAUUAAUCUAUGAUAAAUGCUUUUAGGUUCUCCAGUGUUAUCUGUGGAAUCUCACACAUAGGGCCUCUGUGGCCAGGGCUUGAAGUCUGAUCUCAUUCAUUGGGCUCCGAGUGUUCUGGAAUGCAGUUGCAGUAUUUCUCUUAAAUUUUGAAAGCUGAUAAACUAAGCAGCAAGGCUAGUUAGGUAGCCGCUCCUAAAGUUGGUUAUGGUCUCAAAGUAAAUCUCAGGCAGAGUUUAGAUAAAAUCAGGGUUAGUUCUGUGCAUUGUUUGAGGUCAAUAUAAGAUGCUUUCUUUGUCACUAACCUUUUGAAGAUAAAACAGCAAAAGGUGAAUAAGUCUUCCCUUGAUGCUGCUCUCUUACGUAGAAUUCAGGCUCUGUGGUCCAGCCUUUGAUCCAGUUCGAAGGUACUGAGGAUGAGUUUUCUCUGGACAUAAGCAGCAAAGGGCCCAUAAAAAUGACAUGUACUGAAUUUUCUUACCCCUACUUGAUUUCUAGUGCCAGCGAUAAAAGAGUUUAGGGUAGAGAAGAAAAAGGGAAAGGCAAAGACCACUCCUUUUCUCUGUUCUUCAAAGACCUCUUGUUGGAUUGCCCUCGAAAUUUCAGCUGUUUGUAGUUAGAUGGUGCUGCCAGCAGUCGUCCCUGGGCUCAGCAGACGUGAAAAAGGCCCAGUGGCUUCCAGCUCUCCCCUGGCAUACUUAGUUUGGGACUGUUGACCAGCCUGUCUUUGACUGCGAGCUGCCCACAGCCCUGGCCAAAGAACCACUGCUCUUGGUUGAGGUUGCUGGAGGACUUUGGCUGCCUGCCUCUGGCUUCCUGGUUGUCCACAGCCCUGCCUUUGUGCUGGGUGUUGGGAAUCUCUAAUAACUGAAGGCAAAUGGAACCUGGAGAAAGUCUAAGCUGGUGCUUCCCAGCCAAGGAGCCUUGAUCUCUGACGGGCCCAUGGAGGUGGUGAUGGGAGUCUAAUAAUCACGUGCAGUAUUUCAGAAACAAUAAUAGAUGCCUUAAUAACAGGGUUCAGCAUAUCCCUCAUGCCAGCUCUCUUUGGUUUUGGUCAAACUAUAUUAGCUCAGUGGUGUAGCAAGGAUUAUCUUCCGCUGCUCAGAGGCUUGGAUUUCCUCUGAUUCCUGCAGUUGGGAAGAUUCCUGCAGUUGGGAAGCCAAAUAUGAUCUCACUCCUGUGAUUGGUUUCCUAGAAGAAUCUUCGAGUUUUGUAUCCCCAUGGGAGAAAACUCAGAAGGAAUGAGGACUCACAUAGACCUAACUUUGUCCCGUUAUGGAGACUGAAGCCUAAGAUGGGAAGGAAAUUGGGCAGAGAUCUGAUUCAGGUCUCUCAACUUCCAGCCCAGGCUCUUUGCACCAUGCUCUCAAAAAAGAGGUAUGGAGGCUGUUUGUACACCGUGGUGGGUUUCUCUAAAACUUGCUUCUAGGUCAGAGGAGUGGAACGUAAACCUGAUUUUCGGAACUUGUUUUUGCUAGCCAGUCUGCUGGUGUAAAUUUUGGUCUCACAAGGUGUGCUUUGGGGCCACAGCAGCCUUCCCUGAUGCUAAGUUAAGAGGCUUUUGUCAGAAGCCUUAUGGGUUCUGGAUGUUCAAACACUACGCAGACUUUUGCCUUUAUAUCUGUGAGUCAAGGGAGCCUCAAGAGAGGUGGUUUCCAUUUAUGUAACCUAGUCAUUUAGGGGCUAGAGCCAGACAUUGGCCUGAGCCAUUCUCAUAUGUAGUAGUUAAACAUGAGUAAGUGAUGGGCUCGAGACCACUUUGCCAUCUGAGCCUCAGUUUCCUCAGUGUUAAAGAGGCACUCAUCACAUGACUUCAUCGUUGGUAAAAUGUGGCCUGAUGAAUGUCAAGGUCUGACCAGUCAGGAUUAGUCAGCCUUUCUUUUGUGGGGUGGGGAGGAAGGAGGUAAGAGGCAUUCCUUGGUAGGGAGAUGGGUAGAGUUCUCUCCAUUGUGAACCAGUGGCGACACUUAGGUUCCCUUACCUGGGUUCCCUUACCUGGGUUCAUUGUAGCCCUCUUGUCUUGGAAUCUGUGUCAGGCACGUUACUGAACUUUACUGUGUGUCAGUUCCCUCCUGGGGAUCGAACCUCUCCCUUCGGAUAGUGCCUUUUCUAUGGUAAGGGCUCUAGAAAGAAUUGUUCUUAUUAUCCUCAUGCUGUUGCUGUUCAUUACUGUUGGAUUAGACCCUCGAAUGUGUAGCCGAGAGGACAAGACACUUGGUCGACUCAUUUCAGGACGGUGGGUGAUGAAGAGGUCAGAUGAUGGAGCCAGCUGUGGGCCUUCGAAGAGCUAACUGGAUGGUGGAAGCGUAGAUGAGACUGGCGGGAAGGCCAGGGCACCAGUAACACUUGCACUAUUGGGGGUCACGUGACAGUCAAAGCCAGUUUCAUCUGAAGGAGACCGACCCCUCAGUUUUCUAUAGACAGCUCUUGGUGGCUGAGGUCAGGGAAUCACUGACCCAGACCAGCCUGAGGGUUGGCCCAGUUGGGCUCUGCUGGUGCGGCCUCACUCUCUGGGCUUCCUUUGUGCCUGCAGAUUCUUUCUGUUUCCUCCCUCCCCCUGCUUUCUCUCCACUGGUGCAUCAAAGCCAUGACAGUGCUGCCCCAUUUGAUUUUUGCUGGGGCUGUGGGGUAAGGGGCCACUUUUUCUGUUAUGUCAUAAAUGCAGGUACUUGAUUCCAGUCAUUUGUGGGGAGCUUUGGGGGGAAGCGUUUAUGCCUUGCCUCUGACUAGGACAGAGCAUGCAGCUACGUUGUAUGCUUUACUGAUUACAGCCUGAAGCUCUGAGGCCACAAGGAAUUCUAUUUUGGUUUAGAGGCAGGCGCCUGAAAGUGAAAAGGACUUAUCCUUGGAUUUACAUUUCAUUGUGUCUCCUAGCUUCUUUUCACUGUCAGGAAGAUGAGUUUUAAUUAUUUGUGAGGCAGGGGUUCAGUCAGAUCUGGAAGCACUUGACCCCACUUGGUCAUAACAGAGUCUGAGAGUUCACAGUAGGUUCUUCCAGCCCAGAGACCAUUCUGAGCAGCCCAGUGUUGUGGUGCUGUUUGUGGUCACUUACGUAAGAACUGAAUUUUAAUGCUGAGGCUAUGGUGUAAUUUUCCCCAGAGAACUGGAAUAUAUGUCCCUUUGAUAAGACAGCACCCGAUUCAACCAUCUAGAAGUUAGAAAAAUAAAACCAGAACAUCAUCCAUAGCAACUACAUUUUGGUACCAACUGCUGAAGAAAGCAGAGUUGGCUACGUCAAGCUGGAUCACCCCUUUCAUGGCCACACGUGCUCUGGAUGGAGAAUAGAAGCUCUUCCAAGCCCCUACUACUAAUACAGCUUGGAUACCUUGUAUUUCUGUAGCAUUAUGCUCAGGGGCAAGAGCCAAGACGGCCAUGUCCCCAGUGCUCAGCCUAGCACCUGACCUGAUGACUGUGUGAUAAAAUAAAUUUGACAGAGCUGAAAAAGGCCUUUAGAGACUGUCUGGUUCAACUCCUCUUUUCUAGGGAUGAUGAAGUUAGGCUCUUCCAUUGUAAGUAACAGAUUCUACCACCCCUCCCCCUGCCCCCAACAAAACAAAAUACAGCUCGUUUAAGCACAGUAAGGACUUGCUUUAAAGACUCAUGGGGCUGUUUCCUGGAAUAUGAGGGGCAAGAAUGAUAGGACGGUUGGAGAUUUUCUUCUGGGCAGAUGGCAGAGGAUGGCAGCCCAGGCCCUACCUGCCCCCUCACUCCAGUACCCUGCACUGAGUCUCUGAAGCUGAUUGACACAGCUGGAAGGAUGGGACUGGUCCAGCUUGGGUCAGGAUUACCCAAGGAUGGCCACUAGUCCAGUCAUUUUUGGCUAAGUUUCUGGGCUUACCUGAUGGGCGGGUCUAAGCCCUCACCUUCGUCAAGGACUGGGUAUGACAGCGAUCGUCAGGGAAGAGUCAAGAGGGUGGGGAAGCUCCUUCUUUGUACACCCAGAUCACACAGCAAAACUGGGACUUGGAUCUGGAUCUUCUAGCCCCACUGUCUUCGUCCUUGGCGUGAGAGGGAAAUGGAGACCACAGCACUUCACAGGGUUAUCAAGAGAACGAGCUACAUGCCUAGUAGCAUCCAGUGAAACCAGGAAGAUGUGUACUUCUCUGCCCUUCCCCCUGGAAAUCUCACCUCCUCUUGACCCUUCUGCAGUGUAUUCAUUCGGGACAUUUUGAAGGGCUGUGGUCAGAGCACUGUGCUGCCUAGUUGUAGCUUUCCUGAUGUGGUCAGGAAAGACCAACAUUCCACACAGGGUGUGGGUAGAGAAGAAACACGCCAUUGCCGUUUAAAUCCACAGUGGUGACAUGGUGCUCAAAAAUAAUCCUCCAUAGAUACCCAGGAUGGAUGGAAGACUGCAGAGCAGCUAGGCUCUGCUUGGGAAAGUUUCCGUUAAGUACCAGGACUGCCAAGGUCCGACGAGGACAGAUCGUUUUCCUUCAGCCAUUAAGUGGCUUCUUCUCUGACCAGUUACACACAAAAUAAAAUUCAAGCAUCUUCA